GCGUGAGUGACGAAGGCCUUAGGGUUGUAAAGCUCUUUUGGCGGGGACGAUAAUGACGGUACCCGCAGAAUAAGCUCCGGCUAACUUCGUGCCAGCAGCCGCGGUAAUACGAAGGGAGCUAGCGUUGUUCGGAAUCACUGGGCGUAAAGCGCACGUAGGCGGAUCGUUAAGUCGGGGGUGAAAUCCCGAGGCUCAACCUCGGAACUGCCUUCGAUACUGGCGAUCUUGAGUUCGGGAGAGGUGGGUGGAAUUCCUAGUGUAGAGGUGAAAUUCGU
rnacentral:rRNA from 1 species